rnacentral:rRNA from 1 species
CAGUGAUAAACUGGAGGAAGGUGGGGAUGACGUCAAGUCAUCAUGGCCCUUACGACCAGGGCUACACACGUGCUACAAUGGCGCAUACAAAGAGAAGCGACCUCGCGAGAGCAAGCGGACCUCAUAAAGUGCGUCGUAGUCCGGAUUGGAGUCUGCAACUCGACUCCAUGAAGUCGGAAUCGCUAGUAAUCGUGGAUCAGAAUGCCACGGUGAAUACGUUCCCGGGCCUUGUACACACCGCCCGUCACACCAUGGGAGUGGGUUGCAAAAGAAGUAGGUAGCUUAACCUUCGGGAGGGCGCUUACCACUUUGUGAUUCAUGACUGGGGUGAAGUCGUAACAAGGUAACCGUAGGGGAACCUGCGGUUG